rnacentral:rRNA from 1 species
CCUACGGGAGGCAGCAGUCGAGAAUCAUUCACAAUGGGGGAAACCCUGAUGGGGCGACGCCGCGUGGGGGAAUGAAGGUCUGCGGAUUGUAAACCCCUGUCAUGUGGGAGCAAAUUAAAAAGAUAGUACCACAAGAGGAAGAGACGGCUAACUCUGUGCCAGCAGCCGCGGUAAUACAGAGGUCUCAAGCGUUGUUCGGAAUCACUGGGCGUAAAGCGUGCGGAGGCUGUUUCGUAAGGCGUGUGUGAAAGGCGCGGGCUCAACCCGCGGACGGCACAUGAUACUGCGAGACUAGAGUAAUGGAGGGGGAACCGGAAUUCUCGGUGUAGCAGUGAAAUGCGUAGAUAUCGAGAGGAACACUCGUGGCGAAGGCGGGUUCCUGGACAUUAACUGACGCUGAGGCACGAAGGCCAGGGUAGCAAACAGGAUUAGAUACCCCUGUAGUC